rnacentral:rRNA from 1 species
UACGUAGGGGGCAAGCGUUGUCCGGAAUCAUUGGGCGUAAAGCGAGCGUAGGCGGCCCGAUAAGUCUGCUGUAAAAGUCAACGGCUCAACCGUUGAAAGCCGGUGGAUACUGUCGGGCUAGAGUUCGGAAGAGGCAAGUGGAAUUCCUGGUGUAGCGGUGGAAUGCGCAGAUAUCAGGAGGAACACCGAUAGCGAAGGCAGCUCGCUGGGACGGUACUGACGCUGAGGUGCGAAAGCGUGGGGAGCGAACAGG